CAGCAGCCGCGGGAAUACAGAGGGUGCGAGCGUUAAUCGGAUUUACUGGGCGUAAAGCGUGCGUAGGCGGCUUCUUAAGUCGGAUGUGAAAUCCCUGAGCUUAACUUAGGAAUUGCAUUCGAUACUGGGAAGCUAGAGUAUGGGAGAGGAUGGUAGAAUUCCAGGUGUAGCGGUGAAAUGCGUAGAGAUCUGGAGGAAUACCGAUGGCGAAGGCAGCCAUCUGGCCUAACACUGACACUGAGGCACGAAAGCGUGGGGAGCAAACAGGAUUAGAUACCCCUGUAGUCCCUGUCUCUUAUAC
rnacentral:rRNA from 1 species